CCCGGGUCUUGUACACACCGCCCGUCACACCGAUGGGAGCGGGUUUCACCAGAAGUAGCUAGCCUACCGCAAGGGGGCGGUUACCACGGUGAGAUUCGUGACUGGGGUG
rnacentral:rRNA from 1 species